CCCGGUGUGUGGUGUUCCCCACCCUGUGUCCAAGUGUUCUCAUUGUUCAAUUCCCACCUAUGAGUGAGAACAUGCGGUGUUUGGUUUUCUGUCCUUGCGAUAGUUUGCUCAGAAUGACGGUUUCCAGCUUCAUCCGUGUCCCUACAAAGGACAUGAACUCAUCCUUUUUUAUGGCUGCAUAGUAUUCCAUGGUAUAUAUGUGCCACAUUUUCUUAAUCCAGUCUAUCAUUGAUGGACAUUUGCAUUGGUUCCAAGUCUUUGGUAUUCUGAAUAGUGCCACAAUAAACAUACAUGUGCAUGUGUCUUUAUAGCAGCAUGAUUUAUAAUCCUUUGGGUAUAUACCCAGUAAUGGGAUGGCUGAUGACCUGGCCAUUUUUCUAUUUACAUAGUGCUUGCCCGCCACUGAGGUGCUUCUGUGACACCUGAGAGAGAUAGAAAUACGUUCCUCGUUGCUAUGUCCUCCAGAGGACUCUGGAAUGACCAAUUAUUACUAAUAUUUUAAGUGUUUUUUUAGGAGAUUUUCUGCAGCACUCUGAGUGUCUCUUCCCAAACACUUCGGUUACUGUUUAUUCACCUGCUGAGAUCUGGUCUCUUAUUCACUCUCAUUGCCUUAAGAAAUGGUACAGAAAUGUAUUCAUUAACAUUUCAGAUUUGUAUAUGCGGUAGCGAGAAAUAAUUCCCUUUCUUGUGUGUCGUGAUUUGCCUUUCUUGUCAGCCUAAGCUCAGGAAGGUGUCUGUGAGAACUUCGCUCAGCCCAAGAUCCCUUUCCCUUCCCGUCACAUCUGUUAGCGCACAAGAUUUCUUCGUCUG
rnacentral:lncRNA from 10 species